rnacentral:rRNA from 1 species
CCUGGCUCAGGACGAACGCUGGCGGCGUGCUUAACACAUGCAAGUCGAACGGAACUAUUAUGGAAUGUUUUCGGGACUAGGAAGUUUUAGUUUAGUGGCGAACGGGUGAGUAACGCGUGAGGAACCUGCCUUUCAGAGGGGGACAACAGUUGGAAACGACUGCUAAUACCGCAUAAUGCAUUUUUUCGCAUGACGAAAAUGCCAAAGAUUUUAUCGCUGAAAGAUGGCCUCGCGUCUGAUUAGAUAGUUGGUGGGGUAACGGCCUACCAAGUCGACGAUCAGUAGCCGGACUGAGAGGUUGAACGGCCACAUUGGGACUGAGAUACGGCCCAGACUCCUACGGGAGGCAGCAGUGGGGAAUAUUGGGCAAUGGGCGCAAGCCUGACCCAGCAACGCCGCGUGAAGGAAGAAGGCUUUCGGGUUGUAAACUUCUUUUACCAGGGACGAAGGAUGUGACGGUACCUGGAGAAAAGCCACGGCUAACUACGUGCC